ensembl:lncRNA
AGACCGUCCCCUCGCCCAUACUCGGGCGCGAACCAGGGACCCUCUGCACACAUCAACAACAGUCACCCACGAAGCAUCGUUACCCAUCGCUCCACAAAAGCCACGGCCCUUGCAGAGCAAGGGGAACUACUACUUCAAGGCGUGGGCUGUGGUGUGAAGGCAGCAGAAAGCACUGGGUCAGAGACUGUCGAAGCUCCACCAUAUAGUCCUCCAGGGCCUCAACAGGCUGACUCUUGAUGCUGAAGAUGACUGUAACCAUAGAGACUGUACCAGCACCAGCAACCAGAGAUACAUGACCAGAAAAUAAGGAUGAAGCCUUCUAACAUCUACAUGACUAUAACACGUGCAUUAUUUUUUGCUAAUGCUAUUUAGCCUAUUUAUUUGACUUAGUUGUCCCAGAUCCUUAUAACCUGCAUUCUCAUCUAAAUAUAAGGCUUUGUGUUUUCAAGAGUGAAUCAAGAGCCACCCAUUUAAGUUGUAAUUUUACUGAUCUGCUUGGAAUAUGAUGCUGGCUUUAAAUGUGAAUUAGCAAUGAUCCACUAAUGCCUGGCAGUCUGUCUAUACAAUCUCAAC